AACGCACCUUGCGCCCUUUGGUAUUCCGAAGGGCAUGCCUGUUUGAGUGUCAUGUAGACUCAACCCCUCGGGUUUCCGAGAUGGUUGGAUUUGGGCGCUGCCUACCCGGCUCGCCUUAAAGGUCUUAGCGGAAUAGCACCGAUGUCGGCGUAAUAAGUUUCGUCGACAGACAAGUGUGAUGUCUGCUCAUAAUCGCCUUCGGGCAUCUUUUGACUCUGACCUCAAAUCAGGUAGGACUACCCGCUGAACUUAA
rnacentral:misc_RNA from 1 species